rnacentral:lncRNA from 1 species
GAGAAGAAGUAGAAGAUAAACUAUAUAAUACGCUGAUGAGUGACUUGCAGAAUAAGGAGUCAAAGAAGAUCAAGAUGUAGGAUUUAAGGUAAACAUUAAACAACUUCCUGGGAAAGCAGACAACUGUACAGGGACUGGGUGGGUCAGAUUGAGGUACUCGGCCAACCCACCUAGGUUCACUUAAAUUCCUGAUGAGCACCAGUGUUAUAGAUGCAAGAAUGGCACUGAGAACUUGGAUGAUUUUAAUAGCGGGAAAGUAAUUGUUAAUGUGACUGACUUAGGUUUGAAAGAUGAAUAGAACAUUCUUAACCUCACAGCACCUAUAACUGAUGUAGGGUAGGCUAGUACCAGCAAAGGACGCAUACGACAGAAAUUACCACAAAGGGUGGUUAGGAACUUGCGCCCGGGGUUAUUGGUCCAACCAGUUCGAGUUAGUCAUCAGAGGCCAGUUAUAGGAGGCUAAAGUAGGCACAGGAGGAGCUUUGACCAGGAUGGGAGUAGCUUUGUCUAGAUGGAUGCUAUUGGCAUCCUCAGGGAAGUUCCAGAUGAAUACUAAGCUAUGAAUCAAAUAUGUGAAGGCUUUAACACUACAUUAUUUUGGUGGUUGACAAUAAAUAGAAAUAUGUGAAGGCUUUUCUCAAAGAAAUUAGUGGAGUCCCUUGGGAGGCUAGGUAACGUUACUGGUUGACCCAAUUUCAGAGAGCCAGUUUGGCACAAACGCCAGCUUUUGCAGUGCUCAAGUGUCGAGCUAGCUAGGCUAUUGCCAGCGUAACUUGCUAAUAUAUUAAUGAAAUGAACUGUCAAACGGAAUAACUCGUUUGUUACCAAGUGAUUGAAGCGAAAUAAUAAUUGCUGUGUACGGCUGUCAGAGAAUAAUCUUUAUAGCUUGCUAAUGCCUGGCAUUUGAAAAAUCCAAGAUGGCGUAGCAGUCAGACGUCUUUGUACUUCAUCUCGUCGUGUCCCAUGUAUAGAUCCUUUUCUUCACAUAUCUUUUUAAUAUUUUUUUCUAAACCUCAACUUCAAAUAUUCUUCUGCAACCCGCGUCACCCAAUGUUGUGUGGAUCUGUUUUUGUAAAGUAUUUAUAUUUACCUCGAAUCCGCAAUCCCCCAUCAGAAGCUAGCCAGCUCAAUAGCUACUAGUUAGUAGUCAGCUAACCACUGCUAGCAGUCAUCAGCUAACCUUUAGCUCGGAAAGCUCUCGCCAGUUUUUACAAUGCUACUCAAACCAGAGCAUACCGGACCAAUUUUCGCUCCAUAUCCCCGGAUUCCUACCGCAAGUUCUGGACCUUUUCAUCUGGAUCAUCG